rnacentral:lncRNA from 1 species
CCCAGGCUCUCUCCACGCAACGCCAAUGCCCCUCCCUCCCAUCCCCAACAUAGGAAGCAAUGUUGGGAUACAUACAUGUUAACAUCCUGAGGAUCAUACAGCUCAAAAAUGUCACCACUUACCAUUUCUGAAGGAGGUUUUUUUUUGGGGGGUGGGGUGAUGUGUUGUUGGUAGAAAGGGAACUAUAUAGCAACAGGUAUCAGGGCAGGAAGGAGUGGGGUCAGGAGGAAUUGACCUUGAGGCUGACCCUAUACUCCCCAUCUCUCCCUCUUCUCCCACCCUACAGGGGUUACCUCGAUCGACAGCCCCUCUUUCUGAUAUAGUUGGACCCCUGCAGGCUCGGAGGUUCCCAGAAGCUGGAGAUUUUCCAUUGCCUCCAUAUUUCCAAGGACGUGGAGAGAGCUGUGGAGCUCCGAGCCUGUCUGAACUGUUCAGGAAGGACUUAAUUCCCAGAAUAAAAGGGCACUCUAAGAAUGUUGAUGAAAUCAUCAAUAAGAUGUUACGAGCAUAAAGAAUGGAGUUGGUGCCUGGCACUGACAGAAUGGGAGAACUCAAACCAGCUGAUGAGCAGCUCAGACCAGAUCUAAGUGUUGGGAUCCUGGUGCCACCCCCAUCUUGACAGCUCAGAGCUACAAAGAGAGUAAGAGGUCGGGAAAAAAUAAGGCAAGAAACUCCUACCCAUAUGUGUAGGUUUACCUCCCUGUGACCCUUCCCUCGUGAUCCCUCCCCCUUUGAGGCCAUAUCUCACACGCAUGUCAGCUGUGUUCAAAAACAGCGUAGUAUGGAGCUUAAAAGCGUGCACUGAAAUCUGACUGCCUGGAUUCAAACCUUGGCUCUCCCACUGGCUAGGUAUGUGGUCUGGGCAGAUUGCUUAACCUCACUGUGCCUUCAGUCUCCUCAUUGGUAAAAUGGGAAUAUAAUUGUUCCGGCC